rnacentral:rRNA from 1 species
GACGAACGCUGGCGGCGUGCUUAACACAUGCAAGUCGAACGAUGAACCCGGAGCUUGCUCUGGGGGAUUAGUGGCGAACGGGUGAGUAACACGUGAGUAACCUGCCCUGGACUCUGGGAUAAGCGUUGGAAACGACGUCUAAUACCGGAUAGGACCUUGGAUCGCAUGAUCUGGGGUGGAAAGUUUUUUCGGUCUGGGAUGGACUCGCGGCCUAUCAGCUUGUUGGUGAGGUAAUGGCUCACCAAGGCGUCGACGGGUAGCCGGCCUGAGAGGGUGACCGGCCAACUGGGGACUGAGACCCGGCCCAACCCCCUACGGGGGGCAGCAGUGGGGAAUUUUGCAAAAGGGGGAAAAGCCGGAUGCAGCAACGCCGCGGGGGGGAUGAGGGCCUUCGGGUUGUAAACCGCUUUUAGUAGGGAAGAAGGGCUUGGGUUUGCCGGUACCUGCAGAAAAAGGCCCGGCUAACUCCGU